rnacentral:rRNA from 1 species
UACAGAGGGGGCGAGCGUUGUUCGGAAUUACUGGGCGUAAAGGGCGCGUAGGCGGCCUGCUAAGUCAUACGUGAAAUCCCUCGGCUCAACCGGGGAACUGCGUGUGAUACUGGCGGGCUUGAAUCCGGGAGAGGAAUGCGGAAUUCCAGGUGUAGCGGUGAAAUGCGUAGAUAUCUGGAGGAACACCGGUGGCGAAGGCGGCAUUCUGGACCGGCAUUGACGCUGAGGCGCGAA